rnacentral:lncRNA from 1 species
AGCUGCUGCAUUUUAUUUCUCUGAACUCGUAUUAUGAUGAAACGAAAUAACUUCUGAGUUCUGUUAUGACGUGCCCUUGAUUUACCAGAUGUGGAUAUCUAAGGAGGAGUACGAUGAGUCUGGCCCGGCAAUUGUUCACAGGAAGUGCUUCUAGGCUUCGCAAGUUCCUCAUCGUUGCCUAGUCUCAAGUUAUGUCCCCUUCAUUUCUCAAGAUACGUGUGGCAGAUUUGCAUGGUACGGUUCAUUUAUCAAAUUAUGCCCACCCCCUCUUUGUAUGUUGUGGCUCCAUGUGCGAGCACGCUGUCUGUCGUGACACCUGGUUCGUCAGAUGUUUUGUCAAACUUGCUUGGCUUGAUUGGUUGUACUUGUACCUGUAAGAGCUGAUAGUUAUAUGAAUGGCUUGGACUGUCCUGCUGUUUAUAGCCUUAGGACUAGUUUGGAAACACAAUCCCCCUUGGGGAUUAAAAGGGGCUGAGGAGGAAAUUAGUUCAUUUCCAUCUCAAUCCCUUUCAAUCCCGAAUGGGGUUUAAGGUUUCCAAAGUAGCCCUUAGUAUGUAUUCUGAGCAUCCGUGCAAAGUAUGAAUGACCCUGUAGAUGGGCUGGGUUUUCUGGUUUAUAUUCUUUAUACCGUGUCCAACAGCUUACUCAUAUGGUUAUCCAAAACACCGAUUUACACUGUAGAUUGCAUUGUUCACAGAGUAGAGUUUGAAUAUGGGGAUGUGGAUGAGUAAGCUGCUGCCAAUUGUGAAGACUUGGAAUAUAAACAGUGACGUAGUGCAGAUAUUUGACAACCGGUGGUUACACAACAAUGGUAGCCUAGUUUGGAUUUUUUUAACAACCAGAAAACAAGUGUUAGAAGAGUAGCCUCUGCUGCAUUUUAUGUCAAGUACUACCACCAUUUUUUAUUUGACGCUGGUUAGUGCAAUUUUACUACACCAUUUUUUUAUUUGACGCUGGUUAGUGCAAUUUUGUACUAAGAAACGUCAAGUAUAAAAAAAUCAGAGGGAGAACCGAAGUAUUAGCUGACAGUCUGAGGUUUUCAGGACACUCGAGGAUACGAUUUGCAGCUCCGAAUUUGACAAAAUCUCACAUUGGAACACUGUUCCCUGUCCGUGUCUACUUACAGCGUUGGUUGAAUACUUGAAACAAAUCAUCAUACACAUGAGCCCUGGAAUCUGCUUGCUCACAAGAUUUGGCAGGACUAGCCUAACCUAUACUUUUGGUACAAAAUUUUUCUUCUGCUUCAGCCUGUAGAAUACAGAUGCAUUCAGAAUAAAUGUUCAGUCCACAGUUUCAACGGAUCAGUUCAAUCCAGAAACAGACCCUCGAAGAUAGCCUAAAACUACCCAUGCGGAAUCUAAACGAGCUAGUGAAAUUCUAAUUUCACUGUCACAGUCCGGUGCAUGUCAUACAUAUAUGAACCUGACAAUAGUUUUUAAAACGAGGAGUUUUGGGAGAAAAUAGAAAAACCGGAGUUUUGGGAGAAAAUAGAAAAACCGGAGUUAUGGGAGGGAAAUAGCAAAAUCGAUCGGUGUCCAAAAAUUGUGAAAAUUAACACAAAAACAUCUUAAAGAAGGUUCACACCAAAUUUUACUUCCAAAAUCAAAAAAGUUUGAAUGCUGGGCACCUGAUGUGUCCGAUAUGCACGAGGGGUAGCUAUAAUUUUCAAGAAAAAAAAUUCACUUACGGUUUAAAUCAAUUCCGAUCAUUAUUUAAAAUUUUGCAGUGUACUGCUCUUAGAGCAUCAGCACCCAAAACUUACUAGAACUCCAUCGACCUCAAAACCCAUCUCUAGAAAAAUGAUACAUCAACCUCUGAAAAUCGCUAUGAAGGUUGAUAUUUUUUCGUGGUGCUUGUGGUAAAUCUGCCCAAAUUCACGUGGCACGAAUGUUCAUCAAAUGUCUUUUCAAGUACCUAAACAAUCAAACCAAUCCCAAAAUGCUAAAACUCAAAAUCCAAAGAAACAAUCAAAGAAGGAAAAACCAAAUACAAUCAAAACAAGAGAUCAAGUGACAUGAUUUUAGAGGACAAAUUUGUUUAUUGCUUGAAAUCAACUUUGCAUAGGGUAUAGUCUUACACAUAUGCGAGGAUUAUAUAGGUCCAGUUUCCAUAUUUGGAUCUCUCUUAGAGGACAAGUUUGAAUUAUAAAACUAAAUACUGCCUAAGCACUUUGAAAGGGAAAUGACUUUAACAUUUCCUAUAAUCGAUUUUGGUGUUUGACGACCAUCACAAACCUUAUGUACUAACUAGUUUGUCUAGUUGAUCAUUUCUCAGGUGAAUAAGUUUAUCUAUAAUUAUUCUAAGUCGAUUGUCCGGAAUACCGUAGAUUAUUCCAGACAGGAGAAGCUUUUUGGAAAAACACAUAUGUGCAGACCGUUCGGGCCCUUGCGGCGGACCGUCCGCGACAAUAGGGUGAGCCUCGGACAGGAACUCUGCAAAAACAUAUGUUAACACUACGGACCGUCCGAAGGAGAAGCGAGCACCGUCCGGGACUAGGCGCGGACCGUCCAACCUCAAGCGCGGACCGUCCGGUCGUUGUAAAAUUAGAAAACCCCGAAGGUGACGGGUUCGGUAAAAUUCAUUUUUAGCGUCCCCGCGGACAGUCCGGGGUGCACAGCUGGACCGUCCGCGACUGCUCUGUCUGACAAUCUGACGACAUAUUUAAUGCACUUAUAGUCGUUGAUAUAGUCAUUAUUGCUGACCGUUGCGAUUUCAGCCGUUGAUGUACAAGGGCGGACCCUCCGCGUUCAGCAGAAUUGGAGCAACGACUAUAAAAUGGUUGGAGACUAUAAAUACAACCCCAACCACCUCCAUUCACUUAAUCCAAGCCUCUCAUUCACUCUCAUUCAAUACAAGAGCAUUCACUUCAACCAAAGACACAUUCAAGGUUCCAAAUCUUUUCAAGUUCCAUAAUUGUGUCUAGUGAUCAAUAGCGAUUAGUGACUUGAGAGAGUGUGAUUUUGUGUCCUUUCUUAUUGCUUGGCUUUUAAUCGUGCUUUCUUCAUCUCUCUCUAAACAUUCUAAGUGAUUUGUAAAGCAAGCAAGAGACACCUAAUUGUGUUGUGAUCCUUGCGGGGUCUUAGUGACCAGUGUGAUUAAGAAGAAGCACUCGAUCGGUCUAAGUGAUCGGUUGAGAGAGGGGAAGGGUUGAAAUAGACCCGACCUUUGUGCCAUCCUCAACGAGAAGUAGGUUCUUUGGAACCAAACCUCGGGAAACAAAUCACCGUGUUCAUUUGUGUUGAUCUUCAUCACUCGAUUUGUUUCUUCCCUCUCCUUGCUUUCUAAAGUUCUUGGCCCAGCGGCAACUCCUAGGGAGGCGAUUUGAGCUGAGGAGGGGAGGACACUGCCGUGUGAUCCAUGAUGCUGGGCGAGUUCUCGCCUAGGCUCCCCACCCGGGGGAAGUGACCUCCCAUGGUAUUGGCUGCAAGGCAUUCCUGACUAGGGUCGCAGCUUGCCUCGCUAGGUAGGGACAUGAGUCCGUUUUUUGACCCUGACAAGAGGAUAUCCAGGAACGAGUCCUGGACGCAGUCCAGUACUCCCACUACCUCAGUACAAUUGGGUGGUGGCGAGCCGUGCGACCCAUGGUACUCUUGAGGUGGGUCGAGUAGGAGGUCGCCGAGACUUCCAGCUACGUCGAGGAAGUCGCUUGCCAAGGGAGACUAGGCUUCUGAGGCCCUCGUCAUCUCUCCUUUUUUGACGACAAAAUCCAAACUCUCGAAGCGAAUGUCCGUCCCUGGAGUCCAGACCGCGCCACUAUCGUUGCUAGCCAUCCGGAGCUUGGAUGAUCUUGUCGCGGAACGCGCAAGUCCCCUACCUGGCGUGCCAACUAUCGGUGUUUCGUACCUUGCUCCAACAAGUAAUUUUUUGUGCGCGUUCCGGGCUUUAGAGGGUGUGCACGGAUGGCGCAAGAUUUAUACUGGUUUGGGCAGAAUGUCCCUACUUCUAGUCAUUGGUGGCUUGCGCUACCGACACCAUUAAUGAUAAAACUCGUAGUAGGAGUUACAAGUAGUCGAGAGAGGGAGGAGAGGCUCCCAAAUAUCUUAUCAAGGUGGAAGUGGAGCUUAAAGCUACAAGGUUGAGUCCUAGCUAAGUCUUGGCUUGGCGGGGCUCCAACCUCCUGGUCCUCGUCGGCGCUCCUCCUCUUGUUUGUCCUUGUGGGUUCUUCUCCGUUUGAAGGUGUUCGGUUGCCUCUCUGUCCCCUCGCCUUGAGGCGAGCCUCACCCUUUCAUAGGCCGGGAGAGGGGUCGAGCGGUGUCUUCUCUGGGAAGGAGUCAUAUUGGUUUACCCCGGGUGAGACCACACGUACUCGCGGGGCCUGGGGCUGCCUGGCUAUCGCACAUUUAUCGUGGUGUAUGACAUGAGGGCGACGAUGGUCUCAUGCACCAUCAUUCGGGCUAUGCUAAGCCUUGGCUACCGUAGCCUGGGGCUUGACGCGGCCCGUCGUGUUGUGCCCCGUGGGAGGUCUGCGCACUCAGGCCUAGUCCGAUAGGUCAUAAGUGCGCCGCAGGCCGAGGGGAGGGCUUGCCAUUAAUACACCGGAGUCCAGGGGUUCGUAGGUCAUGAGCGCUAUGCGACCCGAUGGCUCCGUAGGUCAUGAGUGGGAAGCGGACCAGUGCCCACAUUGUGGCUCGGUGCUAGGCAUGGUUAAUGCAGUCAGUCAUUUAUGGUAGGUCAGUCUGGCGGUGGGCACAUGAUCCACUCAAGUGGUUCCCUUCUGACAUGCCCAUCCCCCCUUGUUAAGCUCCGCCACGCCCGACCCUGAGCUCGGUGGCACGGGGUUCGACCAGGGGCGGGUCCUUCCAGGGCUGGUACACCUGCCUUUUUUGACUGACUAAUGGGCCCCAGGGAUCGGGGGCUCUUUCCUAAGUACGCUCACUGACCGCUGGGUCCCAAGGACCGAGGAUCAUUUCCCCGACAAAACAUAUAGUCCAUAUACCAAAUAUUAAACAUACAAGAAAAACAUUUCAUUUUAUCUUAACUAAAAGGCCAAACAUGGUAUGAGUUAAAAAGGAGCACAAUUCUUUUAGCUAGCAGGAUGUUACUACAUGAGAGUGCUAUGUUGCGUGAGGCCUCUUAUCGUGUUGGGAUUGAGUGGUUUCUCACAACCAAUCUAUAAAGUAACGACCCACUCAUAAACAAGAAGGAGAGAAAGAUGAAUAGACCUACACACUGUCGUGUUGGGUGAGUUAACAAACGAGAGGUGAGGGAUAGAGUUAUAAAGGCAUGUUUGGAUCGUAGCCUCACUUGCCAUACUUUGCCUAACAUUUCUGCUUAAGUUUAGUUCUUCAAUUCGAACGACUAACCUUAGGCAAAGUGUGACAUAGUUAGCCACGAACCAAACAGGCCCUAAAUGUGUGCUUCGCAUGUGACGCAGAAGUGAGGGAAGAGGGAAACAAAUAUCCAUUUCACGCGUGAGGCAGGAAUACCUAGAGAAAGAUACAUCAUUUUUAAGACACCUUGUUAAUGUAUGUGCUGGCCACAAGCAAGUCCAGACGAGUGCACUAUUUUUUCCUUAAAAAAAUACUCCAUUCGUUUUAAAUUAUAAUUCGUUUAACUUUUCAGUCCAAAUUUGAUCGGCUCAUUUUAUUUAAAAAAUUCAUAAUUAUUCGGAAUGAGUAUUUUAGACUAGCCGUCGAUGCAUAUACCACCUGCAUUCCCCUUUCGUCCACUGCAUUUUAUCCUUCCUGGUGCUCUGUCCACCUCUCUCGCUCUGGGCCGCCGCCGCCGCCCUAAGCCACGUGCUGAGGCUUUCGUUGGUCUCUUCGCCGGCGACGAGCACCCAGGUACUCCCUCUUCUUCUCUUCCCUUCGUGCUGUGCGAAGUCCUUUGUGGGGCGACACGGGCGGAGUCCGCGCUGCCGCCGCAAGAGUUCGCUCGCCUCGCUCCUCCCAACCUCGCCGUCGCCUGGGCGCCGGUCCAAGGAUGGCGGCGGCGAUGCCUCUCUGCUUUCCUCGCGCGUUCUCCCCCCAAGCGUGCUUGUCUCCUCGUGCCUGCGCCAGCUAGGACGCUUCCCUGGACAAGCUGCCGUCGUCGUCGCUGUCUCUUGCGUGGACGAUGUCCUGCCGGACGGCGACUCAGCGGUGGCGCCGGCCUCGAUCUGGUGCGGUAUGGCCGGAUCCGUGGCGUGGUGUGCUGUGGGUGAAGAUCCACUUGCCAGGGGCACGGAUCCGCACUCCAUGAGUCCGGAUCUGCACUCCUUGGAGGUGGUGAGGUGAUUCACCGGCAACAACAGCGGUGACAUCUCGACGCACGCGGGUGGCGGUGCUAUGGCACCCUCCUAGCUCCGAAAGUCUUUGUAAAAAAAAUUAAAACAUAAAAAUAAAAAUAUUGGGUGCCCCUUUACUGGGCUUGCCCCUGAAUGUGAUGUUGCAAAUUUCAGAUGCAUCAGAAACUGUUGUCCUUGUGCGAACUUUUCUGUAUAAAUUGAAUUUACCGCUCUCAGUUAGCAUGCACAUUCAAAUCCACUGUUCCUUUUCAACCACAUAGUGAACCAAAACACUCUCAUCACUGAGCGAUAUAUGAUUCUAUCCAUAUGCCACUUGCAGCAGUUCUGUAGAAAUGGCUGAUGGUGAGGACAUCCAGCCUCUUGUCUGCGACAAUGGCACUGGAAUGGUCAAGGUCAGCCCCCGUCCCUGACUUUGACAACCUUUACUUCCAAAUAUGCCACUAAUUAUGUCUGUCUUUUAGGCUGGUUUUGCUGGCGAUGAUGCACCAAGGGCGGUUUUCCCUAGCAUUGUUGGCCGUCCUCGCCACACUGGUGUCAUGGUAGGGAUGGGACAGAAGGACGCAUAUGUUGGCGAUGAGGCACAGUCCAAGAGAGGUAUUCUUACGCUCAAGUACCCGAUUGAGCACGGUAUUGUGAGCAACUGGGAUGACAUGGAGAAAAUCUGGCAUCAUACUUUCUACAACGAGCUUCGUGUUGCCCCAGAGGAGCACCCUGUGUUGCUCACCGAGGCUCCUUUGAACCCAAAGGCCAACAGGGAGAAGAUGACCCAAAUUAUGUUUGAGACUUUCAAUGUUCCUGCCAUGUAUGUUGCAAUCCAAGCGGUGCUCUCACUCUAUGCUAGUGGGCGUACUACUGGUAUGACCUGAUCCUUCCUUUAGUUUGGCGUUGAUUCAGUUUCAUAGUUCUAGCUAGCAUCAUCUCUUUGAUCCCAAUAUGCUGUUGUCAACUGUUUAUCUGAGGCUAUUGUCAAGGUCAUACGAAGCCACCUCAUCAUUAUCUUCUAUUCUUGCUCAUGAGUCAUGAGAUUGCACAACUCAGAUACACUGCAUGUGUGUUUACCACCUCAGUCUGUAUGUUGAUAUGAAUUCAGUAAAAAAAUAAGUAUAAUAUAUCAAGAAUAAAAUAUGGAAGUUAAACUUAAUUGUUUACAUGGUGUGGCUGAAGUUUCCUCUUUUUCUUUUUUUUCCCUUAUCUUGUUUACUUUCUCAAUCUACAGGUAUUGUACUCGACUCUGGUGAUGGUGUGAGCCACACUGUGCCCAUUUACGAAGGAUAUGCCCUUCCUCAUGCCAUUCUUCGUUUGGAUCUUGCUGGUCGGGACCUCACAGACUCCCUCAUGAAAAUUCUCACUGAGAGGGGUUACUCCUUCACAACCUCAGCCGAGCGAGAAAUUGUAAGGGACAUCAAGGAGAAGCUAGCAUAUAUAGCCCUUGACUAUGAGCAAGAGUUGGAAACUGCCAAGAACAGCUCUUCAGUUGAAAAGAGCUAUGAGCUACCUGAUGGACAAGUAAUCACCAUUGGUGCAGAGAGAUUCAGGUGCCCUGAGGUCCUCUUCCAGCCGUCGAUGAUUGGUAUGGAGGCUGCUGGAAUCCAUGAGACAACAUACAAUUCAAUCAUGAAGUGUGACGUGGAUAUCAGGAAGGACCUCUAUGGUAACAUUGUGCUCAGUGGUGGUUCGACUAUGUUCCCGGGUAUCGCUGAUCGUAUGAGCAAGGAGAUCACUUCCCUUGCACCAAGCAGCAUGAAGAUCAAGGUCGUUGCACCGCCUGAGAGGAAGUACAGUGUCUGGAUAGGAGGGUCGAUCCUAGCCUCGCUCAGCACUUUCCAACAGGUAUGUAUUUUCUAUAUUUGUUUCAGCUGCAGCACUUCAUUUCUUUUAACUCUAUUAUCGCCGAAAUGAAAUCACUUCUGAAUUCUGUUAUUAUGUGCCACUGAUUUACCAGAUGUGGAUAUCGAAGGAGGAGUACGACGAGUCUGGCCCGGCAAUUGUUCACCGGAAGUGCUUCUAGGGUUUCACAAGUUCCUCGUCGUUACCUAGUCUCAAAUUAUGUCCCCUCCAUUUCUCGAGAUAUGUGUGGCAGAUUUGCAUGAUACGUUUGUUUGUUUCCAUCGGACCUGAAGUCUUCUUGGGGAUAGGCUCCCCCCUUUGUAUGUUGUGGCUCCAAUCCAUGUGCGAGCACGCUGUGUCUGUCGUGACACCUGGUUCGUGAGAUGGGUUGUCAAACUUGAUUGGUUUGUUGUGCGUGGCUGGAAGAGCUGAUAGUUAUAUAUUUGGCUUGGACUGUGCCGCUUGUAUGUAUCUGAAUUCUGAAAGCGU